rfam:Saccharomyces arboricola H-6 chromosome XIII, whole genome shotgun sequence.
CCCUCGGUAGCCAAGUUGGUCUAAGGCGCAAGACUGUAAUUUAUUACCUCGAAAUCUUGAGAUCGGGCGUUCGACUCGCCCCCGAGGGA